rnacentral:rRNA from 1 species
GCUUGUCUCAAAGAUUAAGCCAUGCAUGUCUAAGUAUAAACAACUUUGUACUGUGAAACUGCGAAUGGCUCAUUAUAUCAGUUAUAGUCUACUCGAUAGUACCUUACUACUUGGAUAACCGUAGUAAUUCUAGAGCUAAUACAUGCGUAAAUACCCAACUGCUUGUCGGACGGGUAGCAUUUAUUAGAUUGAAACCAAUGCCCUCUGGGCUCUCUGGUGAUUCAUGAUAACUUCUCGAAUCGCAUGGCCUUGCGCCGGCGAUGGUUCAUUCAAAUUUCUUCCCUAUCAACUUUCGAUGUUUGGGUAGUGGCCAAACAUGGUUGCAACGGGUAACGGAGGGUUAGGGCUCGACCCCGGAGAAGGAGCCUGAGAAACGGCUACUACAUCCAAGGAAGGCAGCAGG